GUAAAAUCAUCUGUUGGAGUUAUUCCAUUAUCCUCAUCCUGUGGAGAUCUUGAUUUGGAAAUUCUUGACAAAAUCUACAGUGUCUGACUUACUAUCAAUGUUACCAACUGAAGGAUCUGCAUUGACUGCUCCAGCAGUGGCUAACUUGAUGUCCUCUGCAAAUUUAAAAAGUGUGCCACCUUUUCCAUCAUUGGGUCAUCCCUGAGGUCAUCAUGGACCAUCCUUCUCAACUGUCCAUGAUCCGUGGGUAGCUGUUCUCUGUUGUCUGUUUCACCAGAUGUCCUCAAAACUAACAGACAGAAAAGGGAAAUGGCUAAUGGUUGAGUGCCCCUGUUGGUCUAUCAUGGAGGGCGAGGAGAGCCUACAGGCGCAUGCGCCCAUCUCUGUAACUUGCUGUUCCUUGUGUCAUAUCAAGUGGAAGUGCGAAGCACCACAAACUGCUUUGAGCAGAGCCCACUUCCCUUCACCCACAGAGAACGUGAAGCAGUUAUACCAACAUCAAUCAAGGAAAACCCACAGGCUGAACUCACACCGUUGAAGCAGGUGCGUGAGUGAGCAUUCUCCAACAGGCGCACGUGAUUGAGGUGUACCUUGGCGUCUUGCCCAUAGAUGUCAGUUAUGAUGAUUGUGUGGGGCUGCCCCCUCCUCGCAGAGCUAAGACAAGCCCCUCCUCCUUGUGAGACAGAGCAAUUGUAGCUCAUGGCAUCCCAGUAGCUGAUUUACUGAGACUAAGGGGGAAAAUGCAAGGUGUAAUGUCUAUAUGUGUGGGUACCUAUAUGUCAAUCAAAUAUAUAUCUGCAUAUGUAUAAAUGUGUGUACAUACAUAUAUGUACAUACAUGUGUGUGCAUGCACACAUACACAUACCAAUUUAAAGCAAAACUCAAGUGGGCCCUGAGAUAAUGAGAGAAUAUGAACUUCUAAGUUGUUAAGCGUCUGUAAGAUGAGGUGCUAGUAAAAAAAAGGCAAAAUAAAAACCCCAAGCAUGUCUCA
rnacentral:lncRNA from 1 species